UUUGACAUGCUGCUAAGAGGAAGGAAGACAGCUCCUGUGUGGACUCAGAAGACGCAACUGGUUGACUGAAAGUACAUUUAAAAAGUUAUCAGACAGGCUUCUCUACUCCCGAGUGAUGCAAAGUUUUGGAUUACCUGCUAGUCCAGGAGCCAAAGGUGGACCUGGAGUUAAAGACGAGCCUGGUCCCAGAGGUCAUGCCGGCAUGUCCGGUGACCCUUGACCUUUGGGAAGCAAAGGAGAGAGAGGAGCGAUGGGCGUUCCAGGUGCUCAAGGUCUGAGUGGAACCAAAGGAGACAAGGUGUCCCCCAGGGUUGGGUGCUUGGUCCACUUCUCUUCAUUGUACAUGCUCCCCCUCGGUAACAUCAUCCGCCGCCAUCACCUCCAAUUCCACUGCUACGCAGAUGAUGUCCAGCUACAUCUCCACAAAAUCUCUCCACCCUGACCGACUGCCUCACUGAAAUCAAAUCAUGGCUGCACUCCAACUUCCUCAAACUCAACUGACAAAUCUGACAUGCUCAUCGUGGGCCCCAAAUCCCUCACCAAAACUGCUCACAACUCUACUCUGUCCCCAUCCACUCACAUCCGCAACCUCGGAGUCAUUCUGGACAAUAAGCUCUCUUUUCAACACCGGGUCAACCACAUCACAAGAACUGCUUUCUUCCACCUCCAAAAUAUUGCCCGUCUCCGUCCAUCCUUCUCUGCCGCUGAAACCCUGAUCCAUGCCUUCAUCACCUCCACACUUGACUACUGUAACGGCAUCCUCUACGACUCAUCUUGCAAAAUUCUCAAAGUCCAAUACGUUCAAAACUCUGCCGCCCGCCUGCUCAGCCACACCCGCUCCCGUGAGCACAUCACCCCAGUCCUCCAGAAACUCCACUGGCUCCCCAGUCCUCACCGGAUCCACUUUAAAUCCUCCUCCUCACCCACAAAGCCCUCCACAAGCAGGCCCCCUGCUACCUCACCAACCUGCUUCACCUCCAUACCUUCACGCAGCCUCCGCUCCUCUGAUGCCAACCUGCUCUCCCCACCAUGCAGAACCAAGCUUCGGACCUGGGGUGACAGCUUUCUCCAUCGCUGCUCCCACCCUCUGGAACACUCUUCCCAAACCCAUCCGUGACCAGUGUUGGGUGACCCUGACCGCACGGUAGGUGUCCCUGACCGCAUAGUGGGUGUCCCUGACCCCCUGCAGCCGUUCUUGCAGCCUUCUUUUGUCCGCUCGCAGAGACUCUUCCUGCCUCCUGUACUCCGCCAUGUCUCUGGCAUCCUCCAUCACCUCUUGGUGGAGCCGUGUAACGUCCUGUUGAACACAAGUAAAUCCACCCAGCAAUCAUACUGUAUAUAUGGCAAGAUAACUGCAGGAUAUUUCUGUGUAACAGAGGAGUGACUAACUCAUGAAUGUGUGAAAAUAUUUCCCGGUCUUAUUCUUUUAUUUGUGAUUUAGAACAUGACACUGAGUUUGUGUGUUUUUUGGACACAAUAUUUUGGCAUUAAAAAAUGCCACACAUUCUGCUGCAUGUGUGCCUGCUUACCUUUUCUAAGGAAGACUUUAAACAUGGAAGUUGUUCAACAUUAAA